GCGAAAGCGAGUUUUAACUGAGCGUUCAGUUACUUGACGUAGACCCGAAACCGGGCGACCUACCCAUGAGCAGGAUGAAGCGAAAGGAAAAUUUCGUGGAGGUCCGAACCCACGAGCGUUGAAAAGCUCGGGGAUGACUUGUGGGUAGCGGUGAAAUUCCAAUCGAGCCCGGAGAUAGCUGGUUCUCCCCGAAAUAGCUUUAGGGCUAGCCUCAAGGUGA
rnacentral:rRNA from 1 species